AUCCAUUCCGUGGGAGAGAGCAGGAACACCUGCCGCCGAAGGCGCAAACCCACCCGAAAACGCUCAGGCAAAAGGACCGCGGAAUCAGU
rnacentral:ncRNA from 1 species